UACGGAGGGUGCGAGCGUUGUCCGGAAUCAUUGGGCGUAAAGGGCGCGUAGGUGGCCUGCUAAGCGUGCGGUGAAAGUCGGGGCUCAACCCCCGAUCGGCCGUGCGAACUGGAGGCUUGAGCACUGUAGAGGCAGGCGGAAUUCCGGGUGUAGCGGUGGAAUGCGUAGAGAUCCGGAAGAACACCGGUGGCGAAGGCGGCCUGACUGGGCAGUUUCGCUGACACUGAGGCGCGACAGCG
rnacentral:rRNA from 1 species